UACGUAGGGCGCAAGCGUUGUCCGGAAUUAUUGGGCGUAAAGAGCUCGUAGGCGGUCUGUUACGUCCGCUGUGAAAACCCAGGGCUUAACCCUGGGCUUGCAGUGGAUACGGGUAGACUAGAGGCAGGUAGGGGAGAAUGGAAUUCCCGGUGUAGCGGUGAAAUGCGCAGAUAUCGGGAGGAACACCAAUAGCGAAGGCAGCUCGCUGGGACGUUACUGACACUAAGGCGCGAAAGCGUGGGGAGCGAACAGG
rnacentral:rRNA from 1 species